CUCAACUUUAUUAGAAGAGACGCAUUUAUUAGAUAAAAAGCCAAUGCAUGCUUUUACAGUAUGAAAAUUGGUGAUUUAUAAUAACUUAGCAAAUCGCAAAGUGAAAACAGGCGAUAAAUCAUUCAAGUUUCUGACCUAUCAGCUUUCGACGGUAUGGUAUUGGCUUACCGUGGCAGUGACGGUUAACGGGGGAUUAGGGUUCGAUUCCGGAGAGGGAGCCUGAGAAACGGCUACCACAUCUAAGGAAGGCAGCAGGCGCGCAAAUUACCCAAUUCUAACAGUUUGAGAGAGGUAGUAACAAGAAAUAACAAUACAAGGCAGUUAAAAUGCUUUGUAAUUGGAAUGAUAGAAAUUUAAACCCUUUUUAAAGUAUCAAUUGGAGGGCAAGUCUGGUGCCAGCAGCCGCGGUAAUUCCAGCUCCAAUAGCGUAUAUUAAAAUUGUUGCAGUUAAAAAGCUCGUAGUUGAAGUUCUGCUAAAAGUAACCGGUCUGCUUUUAAUAAAGGUGGUAUCUUGGUGUGUAUUUAGCAAUGAUGUCCUUUGAAGUGUUUUUUACUUUAUUGUAAUAAAGCAUAUUCAGG
rnacentral:rRNA from 1 species